rnacentral:lncRNA from 1 species
UCAACUCGGUGUUGACGAAUAAAUGGGAGUACUCCAUGUCUUACAUAUUCAAUUCAAUUGCUAAAAAUUUUGGUGAAAAGUUUCGGGAACGACAUGCAUUUGUGGGCAGUUUAAAUAAUAAAUUUGUGCCUUGUACGAAAAAAAUCCUAAGGGAAAAUAAGAGUGUGAGCGAUUCCUUGUAUGUGACUAAUGCAAACGGAGAUCUCGACCAAUUCACCAUUUUCGGCAGC